rnacentral:rRNA from 1 species
CCUACGGGUGGCAGCAGUGGGGAAUCUUGCGCAAUGGGCGAAAGCCUGACGCAGCCACGCCGUGUGUGUGAUGAAGGCCUUCGGGUCGUAAAGCACUGUCGGGACCCAAGAUGGCGAGGGAUCCUAACACGUCCCAAGCUGACGGUAAGUCCAAAGGAAGCACCGGCUAACUCUGUGCCAGCAGCCGCGGUAAGACAGAGGGUGCAAGCGUUGUUCGGAAUUAUUGGGCGUAAAGCGCACGUAGGCGGCGAGGUGUGUCGGGUGUGAAAGCCCGGGGCUCAACCCCGGAAGUGCACUCGAAACUACCUUGCUUGAGUCCCGGAGAGGAUGGCGGAAUUCCUGGUGUAGAGGUGAAAUUCGUAGAUAUCAGGAGGAACAUCUGUGGCGAAGGCGGCUAUCUGGACGGUGACUGACGCUGAGGUGCGAAAGCGUGGGGAGCA